rnacentral:rRNA from 1 species
CCAAUAGCGUAUAUUAAAGUUGCUGCGGUUAAAAAGCUCGUAGUUGAAUUUCGGAAUUGAUGCAUCGGUCGUGCCUUAAGGGGCAUGAACUGGUGUAGCCAAUUUCUCACCUUCUGGUGAAUUGUGAUGUUCUUAAUGGGGUGUCUCAAUGAACUAGAAUUUUUUACUUUGAAAAAAUUAGAGUGUUUAAAGCAGGCAUUGAUUUGCUUGAAUACAUUAGCAUGGAAUAAUGAAAUAGGACAGUGGUUCCGUUUUGUUGGUUUCUAGGAUCACGUAAUGAUUAAUAGGGACAGUUGGGGGCAUUAGUAUUCAAUUGUCAGAGGUGAAAUUCUUGGAUUUAUUGAAGACUAACUAUUGCGAAAGCAUUUGCCAAGGAUGUUUUCAUUAAUCAAGAACGAAAGUUAGGGGAUCAAAGACGAUUAAGUACGUCGUAGUCCUAACCAUAAACUAUACCGACUAGGAAUCAGACGAUGUUAAUUUUUUAAUGACUCGUUUGGUACCUUACG